UCCCUCUCCCUCCCCCCGAAAUCCCCAACUUUCCCCCCUAAAAUCCCUUAUUUCCCACAUCCAAUAAAGAACCUCAGAAGCUUAUUCAACUCUAGGGAAAAUCAAAAUCAAAGAAACCAGAACCAGAAAACCAAGGAAACGAUGAGAAAAAGAGAAAAAAAGGGAUUGGAAAUUGAAAGGUCCCGAGUGGAAGGGUUGUCAAUAGGAGGGCAUGAAACUUGCAUUAUUUUUCCCACUCUUAACCUAGCAUUUGAUAUCGGUCGAUGCCCACAACGUGCCCUUUCUCAAGAUUUUCUUUUUGUUUACUCAAUCCAACUCUAUUGAUUCCUUUACCUUCUUUCAAUCUUAAUCUAAAUUUUCUUUAAUUUAGGGAAAAUUAUUUUUUAUGGCCGAUCAUCAGUUCCGCUUAUUUUGCAGUGAAAAGGAAAGGAAGAUUUAGUUUUCACGGAAAAAAGUGUGGAUUCGGUGCAGUUCAGUAGACUGUGAUCGGAUCCACCGCAGGUUCAUGUUCUGUUGUCAUUGGAAUCAAUAGGAGUUCAAUUUGUAAUGCAAUCUGUUGACGAGAGUAAGGAAAAGAAGACGAAUUUGAAACGAUCAAGAUCACUAUCCCUGCACGAUAUGCCCAUGACUGACAGCCCUGCUACGCAAACCCUUGACCAUUACGCAAACCCUUUUAUAAAAAUUAUUGAAUGAAUAAUAUCAAAUGCAAUAGGCUCUAACUGUUUGAUUUUUACCUGGUUUCAAUAUACUGUGUGUGUGGCAAAUUAGAUUUUUACCCCCUUGUCUUGAAUAUGACAUUAUUUUUAAUGAAUUGCAGACUCAUGGACUUGCUGAAUAUAUAGCUCAGGAAGAGAUGGAUAGAAAAACUGGGUAUUGGUGGUCACUUGAUGGCAAAUUCAUUACAUUUACAGAGGUUGAUUAUUAUGAGAUACCUCUUUUUAGAAUUAUGCACCAAGGUAAAUUGGAGAUUUUAGAACUUUAAUUGAAUUAUUGAAAGUGGCUUAAUUUUGCAAGUUUUUGUUGAUCAGCAAUUUAUUUAUUUUCUGUGUGUAGUAUUUUUCUAUAUUUUUUUAUCUUUCAUCAUGCUAUCCCUUGCACCGCAGUUAACAAAUUACUUCGAUUUUUGUUAAGUUGAGCUCAAAUUUUAUUAGUUUUUUGGCUCAUUGAGCUUAUAUUUUCUUUUUAUACAUGCAAAAUGGAACUGGAUUUAAUUGCAGUUAAAAAAUGCGCAAGUUCUGUGCCUGUGCCGCUGAUCUUUUUGUUUAUUUUGUGGCACUAAUUCAUAGAUUAGAAAUCAUGUCUUCUCGGUAAGGGAACGUUGGUUUAGUACUAAUCUUCUCUUCUUUUGUUUGUCUUGUAUCUAUUUAUUAUUUUUUCUUUUUGCAUUUGUAUCAUUUUACGUGACAGUGGCUGUCCUAAGGCAUACCACCCAGCCUGUAUCAAAAGGGAUGAGGCAUUCUUUAAAUCCAAGGCAAAAUGGAACUGCGGGAUGUUUGGAUUAAUUAUUUAUCACUUUUAGUUCGAUUUAAUUAAUAUAAGUGCUGGGGAGAGUUGAAGCAUGAAUUCUACUGUCUAAUAUAUCGUAAAAUAUGAAGGUAUAAUGUGUCUCUGCCCUUUUCAGACCUUAUUUUGUUGCAAGAUAAUUCAUAGUUAACAAUUCAAAAGAUAAGUAAUGCGCAUCCAAUAUUAUUAUAGCAUUUUUAUUUUUUGAUAUUAUAUAUUCUAACUUAUCCAAAAUAUAAAAAUAAUAUUUACUAUAAUAUAUUUAUUUAUUUAUCUUAUUAUUUUUUUAAGACCUAUACUCGUGUUUUCAUUUUAAGACAUACACGGAUAAAGAAGGUAUCAGGCAGCAGCAGUUGUUGGCAUUUAUCCCAAGACAUCACAAGCACUACAUUUUACCGAAUUCUGUCAGCAAGAAGGUACAUUUUAGUCCACAGUUACAGACAGAUCGUAGGCAAAAUUAUCUUCAUGCUAAAUCUUGUCUUCAGCCUUCAGGCUUGCUGAGAACAUCCAAGAUGCUUAUGGUGAGGCAGCUAGCAUUGCUGAAUAGUCGCAUUAUUUAACACCAAAACCCAUAUUUUACGGGUUUUUCAAAGAAGAAAAAUGCUGAGAAUAGAUGGUCUCUACAAAAAGAUGGGCUACAAGGAAGCCAAGUUACUGAUGCUUUACGGGCUCUGAUAGCCAAUGGCGUUGAAGCGGGGACUAUCCAGUGUGGGCGUCCAAAGGAACAGAAGUUCUGGAUCUCGUUUGUGUAUCGUGAUUCUUUUUUUCUUCUCAAUUCUGAUGCUCAUUGCUUUGAGUUCAUUACAAUUCUGCUGCUUUCAGUUUCACGCUCAUUGCUUUGAGUUCAUUACAAGAUUUCCUUGAUUAAAUAAAUGUAUUAUAUCUUUUAUUACCAAUAUUUACUUGAUUAAGAAAAUGCAUUGUAUGUUUUAUUA